CACGUAGGGGGCGAGCGUUGUCCGGAAUCAUUGGGCGUAAAGAGCUCGUAGGCGGCUCGGUAAGUCGGGUGUGAAACCCCCAGGCUCAACCUGGGGACGCCACCCGAUACUGCUGUGGCUAGAGUCCAGUAGGGGAGUGUGGAAUUCCCGGUGUAGCGGUGAAAUGCGCAGAUAUCGGGAGGAACACCAGUGGCGAAGGCGACUUCCUGGCCCGUUCUUGACGCUGAGGCGCGAAAGCUAGGGGAGCAAACGGG
rnacentral:rRNA from 1 species